ACUGAGGCUGCUCUGGUGACAGUCAAUGCCCACUGCCAGAUUUUGAGUGAGACCAUGUUGGAUCUUCUAGCCCAGCCAACCUUCCAGUUGAAUGCAGACAUGCAGAGAUGGAUUCUUGCUAUGUUGCCCGGGGUAUAGCCUAAAUGUGGCAAGUCUCCCAGGGAAGCUCCACCUCUCAUCCGCCUACUUUGAGCCUACAUUCGGCGCUUAAUUGCAAUCUGAGGAAACCAGGUCCCAGUCUGCUAGACAUUUCUAAGGAAGGGUGCAAUUAAGAGGAGACUGGAGAAUGCAUUGCCAUUUGGAGCGAAAGCCCAUCUCUAUAAUCUUUGCAGAAGCAGCCCUUUCUGAAUCAGACUUGGAUCUUGCCUUUCAUGGCACUACGCGUUGGGCAU